CAUUGCUGACCCGGAUCGCCACCGCAACGCGUGUGCAUCAAGGACAGAAAUGCAAACAAGGUAGCUCGAGCUGCUGCUUUCACUUCAAGAAAAACGAGCACAUUUCAGUCUAUAAGAAUGCAACAUACAUAGUGGUGCACUGGCUGAAAUACCUUUUUUGUGCACCACCACCACCAGGAGGGCCAGUGAGCAGAGGAAGAGCACCGCAGUGGAUAAGGAGCCAAGUAUAAGAGGCCAGUCCUCACCUGACACAUUUGCGCAGAUGGAAGACACAUAUGUAUGUAAAUUGAGAGUGGCAAGGGGUGGCAGCUGCCACCUCUACCAAGUGCCUUGGUGGAUGAGGGAGGAAAGCGGAGUACCUGGAGAAAACCCACGCAGGCACAGGGAGAACAUGCAAACUCCACGCAGGAAGGCCUGAGCCGGAAACGAAUCCUGCACCUCUGCACUGUUAGACCGACGUGCUAAACAGUCGCCCACCGUGUCGCCUGAUGCUAUUCUUGUGCUCUAUUAUUGACCCUCAAUGUCAAGGGAUACUCAUUUCAUGUGAAUACAUAUGUUUUUCCUGUAAGACAACCGCAUGUGUGUAGUAGGAGAGAUACGCUCUUGGCCCCAAUAAGUGACCUACAAACUCAUGGCUUUUGAAAGUGUAUCCCUUUCGCUCUGGCUCCAUUCCCCCCCAACCUCUCCAGUCUCGACAUCAUUCAUCUUGCUGCAGUGCGAACACAGCAGCGGGUGGUGAAUCCCCUUCGUGAAGUCUCAGCUGAACUUUGUCAACUCAAAUUAGGCAAACUCUCAAGACCUCGCUGCCCAAUCUUAAUUGAUCUGCAAAAGAGAAUCGCUGCCUUAAGUUGAAUGGAGCGUGAUCCACCUUUCCACUCCACUCUGCUUAGUGUGUCAGUGUCACACAGACGAGAUUAGAAUUGCAAAUGAGGCCCUUUACAAAGGGAUCGAGUGGGUCAUGCAAUAAACGGCACAAAAACAAAUUACUACAAACCACCGGUUUAUAAUUGUUAUCAUCACUGACCUGUUUGUUGAAAUGAGACCAAUUCUGGUGCCCGUGUUGAGUUAUUAUGCAGUGCCGCCAAAAUCAGGUCAACUCAGUUGCUGCAUGAGAAGAUGUAUCGCAGCUAAACUGAGGUUCAUUGUGUUGAUGAAGCAAAGCACCAAUAUGAAAAUCGUGGUAUUAGCGUAUUAGCCCUCACGUUCUUAUUUUAAUUAUUACUUUUACUUUACUUUGAUGUUGUUGGGUUGUUGUAAAUUUUUAACGAAGGAUUGGCAAGUACUGCUAAACAGGGGUUGGUAUCCGGAUGAUAUCGGCUUUAUUUUGUUGUAUCAGGUGGCCCAAAAGGCGGUCGAUACCAGUUAAGAAAACGGUCUUUGUUGUAUGUCUCUCAGUGCCCGGGCACCAAGAUGCUGAUGCAAUUUGAGGCAUGGAUUUCUAAAA